AUGUUAGAAGAGGAGAAAAGUCAAGAAAUAUCUCUUGCGAAACAUGUUUUAUGGAAGGAUGCUCGUGUGAGUAAGGAUGGAGUUGUUAAGGAAGAUGCUCAACAAAUUUAUGAGCAAUGUGAGAAUCUAUCUCAUUCUUUAACUCGAGAUGAAGACCGUGAUUGCAGGAGCAUACUUAGUCGAGUAUUAAAUAUUCUUGAGUAUGUCGGUCCUGUAAGGGAAAAUUAUCGAGUUUAG